AUUCUUGUCAAUUGGAUUGCUACCCAUUUGGUCAGAUCUUUUCAACUCUUAACUUUUAAUUUUGUAAAUAGGAUAGUUUCUUCAUCUUCUCCCCACUUCUUUAUUUUCAAAAUAUCUCCCUCUUUUUCAAAACCUUCUUUUAUUGAACUUAUUUUGUUCUAAACUUUGACACUUUGCAAAAAAAAGAAAAAGAAACUUUGGCCUUAUGCCAAUGCAUUUUCAAGUUUCUUUUCUUAAAUCAAAC
rnacentral:lncRNA from 1 species